UUUAGAAGGAAAGGCUUCCUUAGUUCUGCUGGCAUUUUGAAAGUAUCAUUUGCUACAUUUGAAGAGGAGGAAGAUGCCGUAGAUCAAGGUGGCCCAAGAAGAGAAUUCUUCCAUCUACUUCUUGGAGCUAUUGCACGAGACAGUGGAAUAAUGUGUACUGAAAGCUGCAAAGGAUCAAGGGGGUGUUGAUUCUUUUUUGGCUGAGAGUGAGUGGAGAUAUGACAUUGAUGGAUUGUCCCAAACCCUCCUAAUUAAAGAUAAGCUGAUGUUCAUUGAGGAGGUCACCAAAUACUUCAUCAUCAUAAAAUGCAAACCAAUGCUUGAUCAGCUCAUUGAAGGCCUCAAUUAUUAUGAUGUUUUGCAACUGGUCCGUGCUAAUAAAGGAAUGGCAAACUAUUUAUUCCAGUACAAUCCAGAGGAAAAGAUGGAUGGCAGCAAGCUGAUAAAAAUCAUGAAACCUAAUUUUUCUCCAAUUGGUCACCAU